UCAACCCCAGCAGCCAUUUUCCUGUAACACAGAAUCCCAGAGAGAAUAGACUGCUUCACGUGCCAUUUCCAAUUAAUGAACUUUCACGUGAAAGAUUUAGAUCGUGGCCCGAUUUGUAGUUUAACGGCUAACGAUUUCCUGUCCAUUAAUGAAAUAUCUCACAUGAUGUCCCCUCAAUUUCGAAUGAAGUUCACAGCGAGUGAACUUGGGAAUUUUAUCUCACCCAGCUUUGAUGAAAGCUUUUGCUUUUCUUCAUCUUUAUUCAAACAUGAAGUGCAGGCGCAUGAGGAGCGCGGGACCGUGGGACUUACUCCAAAGCAGCUUCCACUCCUUUAAUCCCUGCUCCGAAUUGGUGAUCAGAAAGCUGCCCGUACAAUACCUGCCUCGAAUUAAAGGAGAAUGCCAGCGAACGGAAUGGAUACCCCUGGCGUUCCCCCUCGGCUGCGAUGGCUAAUCACGCUCCUGGUGCAGCAGCACAAUACUGGACUUGGGCUGAGUGUCCUCUCUGAUCAGAAACCUCCUCAGGGGGCGCCCUCUUCCUGCGCUUCACUUCCAGCAACUCCACCAGUGGUUUAAUGGUCAUGCCCUAAAUCCCAGAAACAUAGCACAGUGUGCACAUAGACUGUUAAUCAGAAGUCAGACUAUGUACUACACCUUGCUCCUGGUUUAGCCUAAGGUGUUCUAGGCAGCCCAGAACCACAGGCUAGGAACCUUUGCUUUAGGUUCAGUGAUGGUAGACAUUUCUGCGACCAUUUUGUAAGGUACCAAUUGUUCAAAGUACAAUUUUGUGAAGUUGAAAAUAUUAAGAGUUCAAUAUCUUGCAACUGUAGAUGGUCUUUUGAACCCAUUACAGUCUCACAAGUGUUCAGACUACAAUGUGUAAGAACAGCUGUGCAGAAGAACAGGAGACAGGUGUCUAGGGCGUGUGCGCACAAUGGUGUACCAGGAACUUGGCUGUGAGUGAACUAUUGUCUGCUUUACCUGCACAAAGACUGUGAAGAGGAUGACCACAAUAGUAGUGGUGAUGAAGAGUCUCUUCUUAGGGAAGUCAUCGAUCAAGAAGACCAGAGAAAAACAUAUUGCCCCUCUCAGGCCACCGUAGGCAAUGAUGAACUGGUCCCGAAAGGUGACAGGGUUUCGCCGCAGUUUGUUCAUCACGGCCGUCAGGAGCAGCACACCUGAGACCAGACAGCAGAGGGUGCUGUUGUGAAUAUAUGCCAGUGUGAAUUCUUCAAGGUGCUCAUUAUGUUACAUUACAUUACCUCACACUUUUUACAUUGUGUGUACAUUGCACUCAUUUUAUACAGCUUGAUAUAUACUGAAGCAAUGCAGGUUAACUACCUUGCUCAAGGGUACAACGACGGUGUCCUACCCAGGAAUCGAUCCCAUGACCUUUCCGUUAAGCCCAGUUCCUUAAACACUAUGCUACACUGCCACCCAUUCAUGUUAUGUACACAAAUUAGUGGGUUUGUGUGUGGGUGCUCAUGUGCCUGUGUGAUUUUCUGUGUUCCUAUAUUUACAGAUGUUAUAUUUCCUAUAAACAGAAUUCUCCCCCCACCCCCCAUCCAUGGCCU